CAUGGCCCCACUGGAGAUACCCAAAUUGACUCAGAUUCCCUCAAGACAGAUCAGAAUGAGGUUGUAUAUGGGCCAGAUAAAUUUUCCCCAUGGAUUACAUUUGUUGGUCAUCUGGUAAAGAAGCAGACUUCCCAGGUGACUCCUUUCAUCUGUGCUCUGGGGACACACUGUUGAAAGCUAAUGCCAAAUGGGCGGUGCUGCUGCUGUCUCUGAAGAAAACUGUUUUCUAUCAGGUUAUGUGCUCUUCUGUCCUGAAAGUGACAGCUUCCCAAAAGCCACUAAUGCUUACAAAAUUGAGCUGAGCUGCACUGCCAUGCAAAGAACAUAGGAAACACAGACCCUCCAAAAGCACCUUGACGUGUUAAGUUCAAGUUCCUUCAUUUCUUUUGUUUUGAAUAUAUUAAAAAUGCACCAAGGAAACAGCUUCAUGGACUGGGAACAAUAAAUAAUAAAUAAAUAAAUUGAAC
rnacentral:lncRNA from 1 species